rnacentral:sRNA from 1 species
CCCGGCGCUGAAGCGCUGGGCUAGGUUGUGUUGCCCCUCCGGGGCA